UGCUGCUCAAGCCGAGGGGAGCUGCUGCAGGAGCAGGAACUUGAGGCGGCAGAGGGCAUCCCGGCCUACCUCAACACAGGACCUCCCCACACGCCCAAGGACUCUCAAGGAACUGCCAGGGCAAAUGCCUCUAACCAGUUCCAGUGAUCUAAAGAACCAGGAUGAAUUCCUGUGCUUGACAGUUUACAUCCAUCGCAGAAAAUGACUUGUAGCGGCUAUGGGUGCAAUGAUGGGUGCUACUCACCCUGUGGCUAUGGGGGCCAAUGGGCUUGUGGGAGCCCUUAUGGCUACAGGGGCCUGUGUGGCUAUGGAGGCCAUAGCG